AGUCCACUUGGGCUCGUCUACCCAAGUUGGGGGUGUCUCUGGGGUUUGAAUUAGAGUCAGUCAUUCCUGCACUUGAUCCUCCCUUUGUUCAGUAAUUUUAGAGCCUGAGCCACGCCCAGUUUUGGGUGCUACCCCACUGUUUUCCAGACAGGAGGGCGCUGCCCUCCCCAGGGCUCCGCAAUAGAGCUGGGACAUGGCUGCCUGGUCGGAACCCACAGAUCCUGAGGCUCGGAUGCUUAAGAGGAAAUGUAAGGCCUGAAGAGGCAAAUAAACUGAUGCGGACCGUGCGUUUACCUCGGGGGAUGGCUUACUCGGUUCUGCCUGUGCUCCUACCAAAGUGCAAGGUGGCUACGGGGAUGUGCUCCCUCCAUCAGUGGCCUGUGACUCUGCUGUCGGCCCGCGACCUUCUGUCCUGCGCGGCAGAGCCCGCUGCAGAGUCCCCCAAGAAAUAAGGUAUUAACACUUAUCGUGUGGAGCUGAAUUCUUCAAGGAAUAGUAAUCCUUAAACAGACGGAGGAGGAGUCGUCUUCAAAGCAUUAAAAUCCAGCGGGUGCUCCCGGCCCAUCCUUCUUCACCAGCCACGCGCCGUCUGGACGGAUUUGGGUCGGAAGAAUCCUGACGAAAUGUCUCCUCGAAAGAUGCCAUCUCCUGCGGGGCACUGGUCUAGCCCAGAGCUUCUGUCAAAGGUGACACCCAGAGAAAAUGCCCCUCCCUUUGCUUGGUCAGAUACACAUCAGGCUGGGCCCCUCAGACCCUUUACUUUUCUUCUUUCUCUCUCUCUCUCUUUUUUAAAAAGUGUAUUUAUUUUGAGAGACAGAGAGAGAGCGUGAGUAGGGAAGGGGCAGAGAGAAAAGGGGGGAGAGAGAAUCCUAAGAAGGUUUCACCCUAUCAGCACAGAACCCAGUGAGGGCCUCGAACUCAUGAACCGCGAGAUGGUGACCUGAGCCGAAACCAAGAAUCAGACGCUUCACGGACUAAGCCACCCAGAUGCCCUCUUUUCUUCUCUUAAGUCCCUGUUCCAACCUAAGAGAGCAUGAGUCCGUGCUGAUUAACCCCUCCUGUGUGCAAAUGAACUCUAUCUUCCCUCGACUGACCCAAAAGCCCUCGCAGUUACUGCUUCUGACCUAACCCAUCCGACUCCGAGAGGUGCUUUGUCCACAAUCACACAACUGAAAAACCAGUGCUCAACACGGGCCUCAGUGGCGCAUGGUGAGUGUUCUCGAAAUAUUCGCUAGGCAGAUGAAUCACCAGAAAGACUAGAAAUCAGGCCUCCAGUUUUCUCGGGCCUCGACUGGGUCACAUCCCCAGAAUCGUCAUGCUCCGAAAACAGCUUAAAUGCCGGUACGGAGAACAGACCAAGCUACCAACCCCAGUUUCUCCGUAUCAGCUGCUGCUCCUGCAAAAUACACUCUCACGUCCUCACCUAAGAGGCUUCAACGUCGGGUUUAAAAUGUACUUUUCUCCAGGUUAAUUUUCUUUGCUUCCCUGCCUCCUUCUCGGCGAGGCUGGCUCAGGCCACCCCCUGCCCUUGUCCCCCCCCCCCCCCUCCCCACCCCACUUUAGCUUCCCCACAGCGUUUGCCACCAGCUGGUGCAACGAUUCACUUCAGAUGUAUUCCGUUUAUCGCCAGCCCCAAGAGAACAGACCUUUUGUUUGCGGUUCAGCUCCUAGAAGACCUUCUGGCCCGGAGCAGAUGCGCCAUGAAAGUUUGUUGACUGAAUCAAUGAAUGGAUGAAACUUAUUUGCUGACUUAGGUGAUCUCUGUUUUUGUUUUUGUUUUAUUCCCAUGCCGUCCAAACAAGAAUCGGGGGCUGCUCCUUUCUGUCCCUAAGCCUCCCCCAUUGUCUUGCUGCUUCCAGAAUAACAGAUCCCGUCAC